UCAUUUGCGCAGAGGCGAUAUCGUAACUGAUGAGGUUUAUACGAGGUGCGAAUAUUGCUAGUUGAAACUUGCUAGUUGAAACAUUAUCAUUACCAUUAUUUUUUCACAGAGGAAUGUCCU